UUUUAUGUGUGCACCCUGGAAGAUAGGUCCAGAAGCCUUGCGAUUUCUUAAAUUAAAGGUUAGUUGUGUUUGUGUGAUUCGUGCAACUUUUGUUUGGUAUCAUUCCUAGCGUGUGGGUUCCAUUACUUUAUGCUAGCAGUGUGAUUAUUACCCUUUUGAUUCCUAUUACUUUAUGCUUUAUCUUUCAGCUAAGUGUACUCUUGACCCUACCAGCACUUUUCAAGAUACUUUCGACGUAUUCAUUGCGGUGAACAACGCGGUUGGGACAGCACACUCACGACGUGGGAAGGUCACAGAAAUGUUGAAAGAUAUCAGAUGUGUGGAAACGUCGUAGCGGAUGAAUGUGAAUUAUGGAUCUCCAAGAAGUGGUGUCACCCGGCGUCAUUUUCAAGAUUUUACCCGUUUUGAAGGUACGUACCCAGGCGAAAAUCUGGACUGGUCCCAGAAUGGUUC